rnacentral:rRNA from 1 species
GACGAACGCUGGCGGCGUGCUUAACACAUGCAAGUCGAACGGAAAGGCCCUGCUUUUGUGGGGUGCUCGAGUGGCGAACGGGUGAGUAACACGUGAGUAACCUGCCCUUGACUUUGGGAUAACUUCAGGAAACUGGGGCUAAUACCGGAUAGGAGCUCCUGCUGCAUGGUGGGGGUUGGAAAGUUUCGGCGGUUGGGGAUGGACUCGCGGCUUAUCAGCUUGUUGGUGGGGUAGUGGCUUACCAAGGCUUUGACGGGUAGCCGGCCUGAGAGGGUGACCGGCCAAGUGGGACCGGGACUGCGCCCCGGCCCCGACCGGGAGGGGAGGGUGGGGAAUUGUCGCCUGGGGGAGGAGCCAUAACCCGGCGCCGCCGGGGGGGGGGAAGGGGGCUGGGGUUAGGAAUCCAAUUUCCCUUGUGAGGAGGCGAGAAUGACGGUAAUGGGAAAAGAAGCCCCGGCUAACUUCGUG